ensembl:rRNA 5S_rRNA 5S ribosomal RNA
GCUUACAGCCAUACCAGCCCAAACAGCCCCGGUCUCGUCUGAUCUCGGAAGCUAAGAAGGCUUGGGCCUGGUUUGUACUUGAUGGGAGACCUCCUGGGAAUACCAGGGCUGUAAGCU